ensembl:lncRNA
AGGAAAAAGCACCCCAGUACGGUGUACAUUUUAGGACAUCGUCAGGUCUCAGGAAAAAAGUUGUCAGGUCUCAGGAAAAAAGUUGUCAGGUAUCAGUCUCACACGAAAAAUUGUCAGGUCUCAGGAAAAAAGGUGUCAGGUCUCAGGAAAAAAGUUGUCAGGUCUCAGACUCACACGAAAAAUUGUCAGGUCUCAGACUCAGACGGAAAAAUUGUCAGGUCUCAGAAUCACACGAAAAAUUGUCAGGUCUCAGAAUCACACGAAAAAUUGUCAGGUCUCAGACUCACUCGAAAAAUUGUCAGGUCUCAGACUCAGACGGAAAAAUGUCAGGUCUCAGAACACGAGCUAUCAGACAGAGAGAAAAACUUCCUGCAGGUGGCGCUGUUGUCACGUCCCACCAAUGACUGUAGUGACAGCUGCAGUCACGGAGAAACUUGCGUAUCUCUGUUCGGGAAUAGCAGAUAGAGCGUAGGCUCUGAGAGGCGGGCCAGCGUUUACGCUUCGUAAACACGACCGAGUGUUUUAACCUGACAGCCUGAGGUGUUCUUCAGUAAACUGGACUACCCGACAGAAGGACCCGAGGCCCCGCUGCACUGUUUCGGUAAGUUAAAUGUGUUUGUAAGCUAAUCCGUAACUACCGUCCUUAGCUAGGUCCUGAGACCUAGCCUAGCUAGCUAAGAUGUCAGGGUUCGUUUAGCUAAUCUGUGCAGGUGAAUGCAUUUACUAAAGAAAUCAAGAGAAACGCCCCGGGCUACUCAGUCACUAAUUACUGUUACUGUACUUUUAUUAUUAUACUGUAAAAGCAACAGGCUGCACCCUGCUUCAGCUCCAGUGCAGAGCUGAAUAUUAAAGAUGUGCAAACAACAGCAUGUUUUCAGUCUCUUGCCACAUCUGUAAAGACAGUAACAUCUUUUUUAAAAGCUUGUACUUCAGUAACUCCUCAUUAAUCAGGAACUAUGGAUUAAAGUACUGUAGUCUACUGUAAUACUGAAAAAAUGUAAGAGAAGAACUUCAGAUCCUGAGUGUGUGAGGACAGAAGAAUCAGCUUCAUUUCAAUUUUGAGGGAUAAAAUUUAUAUCUGAGUUUGAUGGUUCUGUUCUCUUUGUGAUUACAGGAGCUGCCCUCAGAUUCAGACCUCAGCACCAUCGAGUGACAGCAGACAGAUCAUCCAACAUGUUAACUGCAAAAUGAACUGAUGAAAACAGUACAAAGGUUAAAGUACCACACGUGCUGUAGUGAAAGCUGCAGCUUUAUUGAUAAAGUUAAAAACAAAAAAAACAAAAGGAUUAAUCACUCAUGUAACUGUGUCACUAUAUAUCAGCAUUAACAGGACCUCAGUUUGUAUCUCAGACCUGCACAGCUUCCGUUUUAAACACUUGAUGUACUCAGCUGCAUGAAGAGCAUAUGAGAUUUUGUCUAACACAAUUAAAUAAAACCUGAUGAAGGCCAAAGGUCAUCAUGUUGAAUGUUGUAGUAUGUUGAACUACAAACUUGUGAUCUGGAAUUCUUUCACAGUUUUUUGCAGAUUGUGUGUUAUUUACCGUAAAGUGAUUCAGAGUUAUUCAUACCAGAGUGACCAGAGAGGAUCACAUAUUUUUAAAUAUAUAACUUUCUACAGGACUGAAUAUAAUAUCUUUAUAUAAAAGUCUGGAGCCUUUGGGGAGUAUCCGAGUAUUUAUAACAUUACACAAACCAAAGGUCUCCAUCACAGUGUUCAUGAAAUGCUGGGUUUAUCCAUCUCCUGGAGCGGGCCUACGGAGGAGUGCUGAAGAUUUCCCUGUGAGGGAGCUGCUGGUGAAGAUCAUGAGUCCUGCUUGAUCAAUGCGAUGAGCUUCAGUGUUCCUGGUGUUUCUUAAAUGAUGCCUUUUUAAGUAGGUCAACAGAACUUCUGGCACAGGACAGCUGUGAUGAAAGAAAGGGAAGAAGUUUCUCCAAACUUCUGGACACAGGAAACCCAGCUUGGUCCUGAUGGUCUCCCUCACUAGGUUCUCUCCAGGGUGAAUGUAGCUGUUGAUAUAAUAUGGAUUAUUAUUAAAUGAAAAGAACAAAUUAGACUACAUUACUGACACGUUCUGCUGAUGUUUUUAAAGUCUCCAUGUUACCAGGAUGUAGAGGGCUCUGAAGAUUUAAACAGUUUUAGAUCCAUUACACUCACAGUCUUAUAUUUUUUAUAUUAACAGUAACUCUGGGGCUCUGUAGAGUGUGCAGAUGAUCUCAUCGCUGUCUAAAAAUGUAUAACAAAACCCUAAGAAGUGCUGAAUCCUUCAAUAACACAGACUAUUAGAGUAGCAGGUGUGUAGCAUUGCUAACUAGCUAGCAACAAGCCUCCAACACAGUGCGUAUGCUAGCAACUAAUCUAGCAAACGAAUUAACAACAGAGCGAUUUUAGAACUAUAAGAUACGGAAGCGUAGAGCUGCCACCCAGGCAAAAGAAAAAUAGAAGUAUAUCACGUUAUAACGUGAAAAGUUUAUUGUUCUAACAAGAUACUUUUCAUGUUUGUACAAUAUACUAUCAUGUUUGUACAAUAUACUGCUAUGUUUGUACAAUAUACUUUUGACGUUUGGACAAUAUAAUAUCACGUUAUUACAAUAUGCAUAAUUAUCACGUUCGUACAAUAUAAAUAUCACGUUCGUACAAUAUAAAUAUUAUAUGAUAUUUAUGAUAUAUUGUAAUAACGUGAUAUUGUGUUGUUCAAACGUCAAAAGUAUAUUGUACAAACAUGAAAAGUAUCUUGUUAGAACAAUAAACUUUUCACGUUAUAACGUGAUAUACUUCUAUUUUUCUUUUGCCUGGGUGGCAGCUCUACGCUUCCGUAAUAAGACGAUAAACUGUGUGUCUUUUUUUUAUAUAACAGUGACAUGGUUGUAUUUACCUUAAUUAAACGAGUCGUCAGUCGUGGUAAACCAGCAAAAAAAACCUCGAGCAGCCGGGCUAAGUAAAAAGUGUAGGGGGGCGUGUUUGCGGUCACCAGCGGGUGUGUGGGCGGGAGCGUUACACAUUCGCUCCACCUCAAGUCACUACUCCAAAUUUGCAAGAUGGCAGCCUCCAUCUGAGUCUGAGACCUGACAAUUUUUCGUGUGAGUCUGAGACCUGACAAUUUUUCAUGUGAUUCUGAGACCUGACAAUUUUUCGUGUGAGUCUGAGACCUGACAAUUUUUCGUGUGAGUCUGAGACCUGACAAUUUUUCGUGUGAGUCUGAGACCUGACAAUUUUUCGUGUGAUUCUGAGACCUGACAUUUUUCCGUCUGAGUCUGAGACCUGACAAUUUUUCGUGUGAGUCUGAGACCUGACAAUUUUUCGUGUGAUUCUGAGACCUGACAUUUUUUCGUGUGAGACUGAUACCUGACAACUUUUUUCCUGAGACCUGACGAUGUCCUAAAAUGUACACCGUACCCCAGACCAUUAUGGCGCCCUCCCCACUGUGGCAAGUAGAAAACAUUUCAGGUGGGAUCUGCUUGUCAUGCCACUAAUGUUAGAAACCAUCAGGACUAUCAAGGUUACAUUGUUUCUCAUCAGAGAAUAAAACUUUGUUCCACCUUUCAGUGUCCCAUGUUUGGAGCUCUCUUGCAAAGUCCAAAUGGUGAGUUCUUUGCAGUUCAAGGAGACGAGGCCUUUGAAGACGUUUUUUGUUUUUGAAGCCCUUCAGUCUCAGAUGCCACAUGAUGGUUAUGGGGUUGCAGUGGGCACCAGUAAUGGCCUUAAUUUGGGUCAAGGAUCGUCCAGUGUCUUGACAGAUAGCCAAUUGCAUCCUCCAGUUCAGUGCUGGUGAAAUUUUUGGGGGUCUUCCAUUAGACUUUUUUGUUUCAUAACCCUCAGGAUCAUUUAGGAAAUUGUCGUACUGCGUCUUACUUCAGCAUCGCUGCUAAAGUGAGACGCGCUGCUUAUGCAGUUCAACAACACGACCACGUUCAAAACGGGAAAGUUUUUUUGCCUUUGCCAUCAGAACGUCAUGACAGUGUGACUACCUGACAGAAGAUAACGAACAGUGUUGGUCAAGUUACUUGAAAAAAGUAAUCAGUAACUAAUUACUGAUUACUUCCCCAAAAAAGUAAUGCCGUUACUUUACUGAUUACUUAUUUUCAAAAGUAAUUAAUUACUUAGUUACUUUUUAAAAACACGAUUUACAACCUGAAUAGGUAAUAAAGCGAUAGAUCUUUCAGCCCAGUUCUACUUUUUCUGCAUAAUUCAUCAUACAAAAUGUAAUCAAAUGGAAAAGUCUCUUUUUAAAACUUGUUUUAUUAGUUUUAAUCUUUUAACUUUAUGCAUCAAGCAAAAAUUAAAUUAUAUGCAACAUUCUCUGACUGGAAGAAAUUUGUUUAACAUUUAAACCUAUUUUCUCCACAUUCCAGCACAUAAAAUAAAAUAUUUUUUUGUGUUUACACUCGCUCUUUCAAAUAGAUGCAAGUAAAACACAGCAGAAAAUAAAUAAAAUCAAAGACUCAGCGGUCCUGUUGCACUAUUUUCACCUAUAAAGCAGGAGUGGGUUAGGCGGAGGUUUACCCUGGUGCAGGUGUGCUGCAGCGGUCAGUGGAAGAAUCCACGAGUUUCUCUGUGAAUUUCACAUUACGUUGUAGCGCACUCGGUGCUUGCUUGGAAGUUUAGGGGUUUAAAAAGAUUUUUCUUCCCACGCAGUGAACAGUGGACACUAAUGUUUUUGUCACUUUUUAUGGAAUCAAACUCAAAGUAAGGUCAGUACUUCCACGCUUUAAAUGCUGCACGCUCAUACUCUCUCCCGCACUCGAUAUAUUAUCCAUUGUUGAUCUGCAGACAGCUGUUGUCACGAAUGUCGCACUUGCUUACGUCACUGUCAUGAGACAUUCUCGCAAAAAAUCACGGUUUUAGUAACGCAGUAACGCAGCGUUCCUACGUGAAAGUAACGGUAAUCUAAUUACCGUUUUUGCAAUAGUAAUCUCUUACAUUACUCGUUACUUGAAAAAAGUAAUCAGAUUACAGUAACGCGUUACAAGUACUGCCCAUCUCUGAUAACGAAUAAUCCACAAUUUAACACAGAGUUGGCCUUUUAAAGGAAUGUGGUCCUAAACUUUUGAGCAGCUGUAAAACAGUCUGUUU